rnacentral:misc_RNA from 1 species
GGAAGGGACACUUGCCAAGACUAUUAUCAACGAGCCCAAUGAAGUCACCCUCAUGAAUGGUCUCGUCGCUCCACUAAACAUGAAGGUGUACUACAUAUCCUUCUCUGCUCACGCAGAUUCUGCACAGACAUGCGCGUUUUUGAACGAGCUGAUGCCACCCAAUGUAAUCCUUGUCCAUGGAGAAGCAAAUGAGAUGGGAAGGCUGAAGCAGAAGCUUAUCACUCAGUUUAUUGGCACGAAU